UCUUGCGCUCUUUGGUAUUCCGAAGAGCAUGCCUGUUUGAGUGUCAUGAAACUCUCACCUCCAAUCUUUUUUAACUAAGAGCUUGGGGCGUGGACGUGAGUGCUGCUGGUGCCCUGGCUGCAUCGGCUCACUUGAAAUUCAUUAGCUGAAUCCUUUAAAGUAGGUUCUACUCGACGUGAUAAGAUCUCCGUCGAGGACAGUGCUUCGGCAUUGGCCAACGAUAAAGUUGAUACGCUUCUAAUUAGCGCAGACUUCGAGAGCUGGCAACUUGACCAUUUGGCCUCAAAUCAGGUAGGACUACCCACUGAACUUAAGCAUAUCAAUAAGUGGAGGAAAAGAAACUAACAAGGAUUCCCCUAGUAACGGCGAGUGAAGCGGGAAGAGCUCAAAUUUAAAAUCUGGCAGUCUACGAUUGUCCGAAUUGUAAUCUCGAGAAGUGUUUUCCGCGUUGGCCUGUGCACAAGUCCCUUGGAACAGGGCGUCAUAGAGGGUGAGAAUCCCGUCCUUGGCACAGACACCCAAUGCUUUGUGAUACACUCUCAAUGAGUCGAGUUGUUUGGGAAUGCAGCUCAAAAUGGGUGGUAAAUUCCAUCUAAAGCUAAAUACUGGCGAGAGACCGAUAGCGAACAAGUACCGUGAGGGAAAGAUGAAAAGCACUUUGGAAAGAGAGUCAAACAGUACGUGAAAUUGUUGAAAGGGAAACGAUUGAAGUCAGUCGUGCCUGCCUAGAUUCAGCCUUCUGGUGUAUUUCUAGGUCGGCAGGUCAGCAUCAGUUUGGGAGGGUUAACAAAGGAGUUAGGAAUGUGGCUACCUCGGUAGUGUUAUAGCCUAGCUUCAUAUUGAUCUUGCUGGACUGAGGAACGCAGUGCGCCCGCAAGGGUAGGUCUUCGGACACUU
rnacentral:rRNA from 1 species